GAUGAAGAACGUAGCGAAAUGCGAUACGUAAUGUGAAUUGCAAAUUCAGUGAAUCAUCGAGUCUUUGAACGCACAUUGCGCCCCCUGGUAUUCCGGGGGGCAUGCCUGUCCGAGCGUCAUUGCUGCCCUCAAGCACGGCUUGUGUGUUGGGCCCCGUCCUCCGAUUCCGGGGGACGGGCCCGAAAGGCAGCGGCGGCACCGCGUCCGGUCCUCGAGCGUAUGGGGCUUUGUCACCCGCUCUGUAGGCCCGGCCGGUGCUUGCCGAUCAACCCAAAUUUUUAUCCAGGUUGACCUCGGAUCAGGUAGGGAUACCCGCUGAACUUAAGCAUAUCAAUAAGCGGAGGA
rnacentral:misc_RNA from 1 species